rnacentral:rRNA from 1 species
CAGUCAUGCUAGUGAGGAAUCAACUUGAUGAUGUGUGGGUUCGCUCGCAUACUUUCCGGUGCACUUCCUCACUCGGCAGGUUAGCAUCAAUUUCGGUAUCAUAAUAAAUUUGAGGGAAUGUGACUUUUCUCGGAAAAGUGUUAUAGAUCUUGAUCUAUGUGGUGACCGGGAUUGGAGGUAUUGGCAGCGGAUACCCUGUGGCUCGUCACCUGGC